rnacentral:misc_RNA from 1 species
UUUCUUUUUCACUUUGAUGGAUUCGAUUCACAAUUUCACAUGCUUUCAAGAAUAACUCAUUCUGUCUACAGUAUUUUGCAACCAAGAAUCGCAUCCCACUUAAGAUUAAGAGAAAACCUUUUGUACCAGUGAGUGUUCCGAUAUGGACUUGAAAUCUGUGGUGAAGAAAUUACGACAGUUUGCAGACCCUAGUUUAGCUGAAUCCUGGGAUAAUGUUGGUCUUCUGGUGGAACCAACCCCUCCACAUGAGGUAAAAAAGGUGAUGUUGACAAAUGAUCUGACAGAGGCUGUAUAUAGGGAGGCAUGUGACUGGAAUGCAAAUCUUAUUAUUUCCUACCAUCCACCUAUCUUUGCCCCUAUGAAGAAGCUUGUGCAAAGUAACUGGAAGGACAGGAUCAUAACAGGUUGUAUAGAGAACCGGAUCGCUAUUUAUUCUCCGCAUACCAGCUAUGAUGCCCUGGCUGGUGGAGUAAAUGACUGGCUACUACAAGCUUUUGGUGAGUUUUCCUGGUUGAUAUGAGUACAUUGUAUUUUAUUUAGGAUAUCUCAUGACUAGUACCAUCAAAUGUCUGGAAAUUGAUUCAGAAUUAGUGAAACCUUAACAUUCAAUUAUUAUUGCAUGAAACUAUUGACAAAGGCAUUAUUGUCAUGUGAUUUCAGCUUGAUACAUAUCCAACAAUUGAAAUAGAGUAAUUAAGGUAAAUUAUGUAUUAAAUUUUGUUGUAUCAUUUUCAUCUUUGCAAUGUGACAGAGGAAUCAUUUCCAUAUGAUUAGUCUCUGCAAUAUAGCCCAAAGUUUUUUUUCCCCACUUUAUUAUAUAUAGGCAAGCAGAGGAUGAAAAUUCUGUGGCUGGUGGAGAUGACAUAUAUAUUUUUGGCAUACAACUUUAAAAGAAUCUUUUUUGGAAUGUGGUUGGUGUUUCUGAUUACAGAUAUAAGCAGUUCAAAACCAGUUACCCAGUCAGUGACAUCUGCAGGCCCCUACAACAAAAAGCUACAACUCACUAUUUCCAGCACUGACAGGGAAUCGAUACUUAAAUGUGUUAGUGGGAUAGAAAACACCUUCACAACUGUAAAUGAACUAAAUAAGGAAUUUUGCGAGAUUAAUGUACUAUGUGGCAGUGGAACUAUACCUGCCAUAUUGGAGAGCACACAGUGCUUCUGUGACAAAAUUCAAAGCACAGCGUUAUUUGAUAUACAAAAAAUACCUAAAUCUGGACAUGGGAUGGGCAGAAUUGGGAAGUUGACAUCACCUAUCUCUGUCAGUGAAGCUGUGGAGAGGGUAAAGAAGCAUCUUGGACUAGCACAUAUAAGGCUUGCUAAAGGAAUAGGCUGCGAUAGCAUCUCAUCAGUGGCAGUCUGUGCUGGAUCUGGUGGGGGGCUGUUGAAGAACCUGAACGUUUCUUUGUACGUCACCGGAGAAAUGAGUCACCACGACGUCCUACAUGCUGCCCAGUCAGGCGUGUCUGUCAUUUUGUGUGACCAUAGCAACACAGAGAGGGGAUUUCUCAAAGUGCUGCAAGAAUCACUGACUAAAGUCUUCCAGAAUCAAGUUGACAUUCAAGUUUCAAAGUCUGAUAAAGACCCUUUAGAUGUAGUGUGACACCUAUUAUAUCCAGUGAUUGCAGAAUAAAUAUUAAACAAAGU